UACGAAGGGGGCUAGCGUUGUUCGGAAUUACUGGGCGUAAAGCGCGCGCAGGCGGCUAUCCAAGUCAGUGGUGAAAGCCCGGAGCUCAACUCCGGAACUGCCAUUGAAACUGUUUAGCUUGAGGAUGAGAGAGGUGAGUGGAAUUCCCAGUGUAGAGGUGAAAAUUCGUAGAUAUUGGGAAGAACACCGGUGGCGAAGGCGGCUCACUGGCUCAUUACUGACGCUCAGGCGCGAUAGCGUGGGGGAUCAAAACAGG
rnacentral:rRNA from 1 species